UAUGUAGAGGCGCGGUGAUUAUCAGUAGCAUAUAUGAUGAUGCUGGAUCAUUUGAGGAUAUGUGAAAGGAUGAACCGCCGAAGUUCCGGGAAGUCAGCAUUUCCGGUGCUGGGUCUGCAGAGAAUAUCUGCAGGACUGUCACUGUUGGUGAUGAGCUACCAGAGGUAGCAGGAUCACAAAUGUGGAGAGCUACGGU
rnacentral:ncRNA from 1 species